GCAAAAAGAUAUUCUUUGUCAUUUUUAGUGCUUGCAAAAAUCACGCCAUUAUCAUUUAUUUUCUUGAAGAAGAAAAAGCAAACAGCAGCAGUCAAGUUUUCUAGCAUUAGCAUCCCUCGGCGUUCAGUGCAAGGAGCACGGAUGAUGGACAGUAGUACAUCGAGAUCGCUUUCCCCUCUAGCGCAGAAAUGGUACUAGCACAGUAUACACUGAGCUUGAGUACGUACGAUGCACUGAAGGCUUCAAAGCCUACGGGUAGAUGACAAUAAUAAUAAUAAUUUGCUGGCUCCUGUCCUGUGCCAAUUAUUAACGAGGAGGAUGAGAUGCAGUGCUUUCGGAGCAGUAGUAUUUUGACGGUACCACAAGAGCAGUGCUUUCGGAGGCUCCUGUCGCUGUUCAAGAAUCAGAUGAUGCCAACAGCUCUGAAAAAAAUAUCGUCCUCUCGACUGUUACUUGCCUAUUUGCCCGGACUUUUGCUACCCAAGUCGAAUCCAAAAUAUGAAUAUGGCAUUAUGGUGGGUGGGUGACCACUUGCCUGCACUCACAUCACAUGAAUUCCGGUUUCUAUCUUUAACCUGAAUGAGUGUGUUUAGUUUUUGAUAUUUGGCCUGAUUAAUCAGUAAUCACGCAUUCAAAACAAAGCACUUUGGACUAGGAGUUGGUGGUAGUUUCAAGUUUGGUUCUCAAGGCCAAAUGAUAAAAGUGAUUAUUCAACAUUCUUUA